rnacentral:lncRNA from 1 species
GAUACUUGCUGUCAUCUCAAACACUGCACAUUCAGACAUGACGCUUCACCAUUCUCGUGGGCUCUAGAAUUUUCUUAAAACUCAAGUAGGAGAGAUGAGAAAUGAACUGCUGGCUGAAGAGUGGGACCUAGAUUUGGAAUUGAUGGAUUCCUAGAAACUUGAGAGACCACAUUGACUCCUCUCUGGGUAUCUCCUCAGUCUUUCUCGUCUAAAUCAGAAGAGACAGUUUUUGAAAUUUGUUCCAGAAGAUUUGAGGAUAGCAAUUAAAUAAGAAUAAACAAUACUUGUUGAAUACUUUCUCUUCAGUGUUAGAUGAAGUAAGUGAAGUUUUCCAUGACUAAUUAAAUAGAAUUAAGAUGUAA